rnacentral:rRNA from 1 species
UACGUAGGGACCAAGCGUUGUUCGGAUUUACUGGGCGUAAAGGGCGCGUAGGCGGCGCGGUAAGUCACUUGUGAAAUCUCUGAGCUUAACUCAGAACGGCCAAGUGAUACUGCAGUGCUAGAGUGUGGAAGGGGCAAUCGGAAUUCUUGGUGUAGCGGUGAAAUGCGUUGAUAUCAUCAGGAACACCGGAGGCGAAGGCGGCUCACUGGGUCUUUCCUGACGCUGAGGAACGAAAGCUAGGGGAGCGAACGGG